ACGUUUCAUGAAGUCUUGAAUGUUUUGUGAAUAUUUUUCUAUCUCUGUUUCUGCACUCCAACCAAGUUUCCCUCUUUGUGCUCUUGUACAAAAGAUUCCUAAUCCUAGAGUCUUGAAGUAAGGGAUGCUGAACAGUUGAAUUAAAAUCUCACUAUGUACGAUCUAUUUUAUUAGCUGGGGCAAAAAGCAGAGAACACAACUUAUUCUUCUCGACUGAUGCUUAACUUAUUGAGGUGGAUUUGUGAUGGAUCUAUAUUAUUAGCUGGGGCAAAAAGCAGAGGCAGAUUCAAUAUUUAAAUUUUUUGGAUUUUCAUGUAAGAUAGAAAAUAAAACCAAAUAUUUAUUUAUUAAUUAUUUUUUAAAAAAUUAAAAAGUAAACAACAUUUAAUAGAU